UCCAGCACUGACCGCCCUCCAUCUAAAAAGCUCGAUCCUAUUCGAGUAAACCCUCGUCAGUCCAAUCAACUCUCUUUCUCGAUUUUUCACCGUGUAACGCCGCCGUCCUCACAAUCAUUCCCUGGCGAGCAGACAUCCAAGCUAGCCACGGUACCGCGUCGCCCACCGCAGUGUUAAGGGCUCUCAGUCGCCCUCUACUUCGGUCCUUCGUUGGCGUCAAGUUCCAAUCGAUCUAGCGAGCGCGAUUUCGUGGAGGAAUGCGCGUUUGCUACAGCCGGGCCUUCCCUCUCUCGAAUCAGGCGACGUCAUCUUCCAAUCUUCCUCAUCCUCCCACCUAGUUCUGAUGUUUAAGAGCCCCAACGUCGCAGCUAGGGUCUUCAAACGCCAAAUCCUCGCUCCUCGUCCUGGUGCCAGUAUUAAUUUUGUUAGACAAUUUUACGAGAAUCUUGUUCCUGGCUGUACUAUAUGUGAUAUUGAUUGUCCAGAUCAUUCAUUUCGGAAGUUCACAGAUGAUGGGCAGUACCUUGUCAGUUUCAGCAUGAACAUGCAGGAUAUCAUAGUUUUCAGACCCAAAUGGCUUUCAUAUUCAUUCAAGGGAGAAAAUUGUGAUCACCAAACUUUGGCCCAAAAAGCGAAGAAGUUUGACAGCUUCUUUACCCAUCUAUACAGUAUAUCACUAGGAUCCAGUAAUGAAUCCAUUUGCAAGGAUUUUUUUCUUUAUUUGGAGAACCAUCAGUUUGGCUUGUUUGCAACAACCACUCAAACUCAAAUUCAUGAGCUUGCUUCUAUUGAUGGGACAGUUCUUGGAUUUCCUUCAAUAGAGAAAAUAACUUUUCACCUUGUAAGACUGAAUGAUGGGGUGGUAAUGGAUGAGAAGUCUUUUCGUAAUGACUAUGUCAGCUUAAUUCACAACAUGGGGGUUUUCUUGCAUGACAAUUUGUUGUGUGUAUUCUCCCUGAGAUACCAGACAAUUCAUAUCCUCCAAGUUCGAGAAUCAGGAAAUCUAGUUGAUGUACGAAGUAUUGGCCCAUUCUGCCUAGAGGAUGAUGAGCUAUUUCUUAAAUCUCAUUCUCAGUGCAGUGAAGUUGUCAAUAAAAGCAGGUCUGAGGAAUCUGUUCAUCUGUCAACUAAUAACAUUCAUCACCAGCAGGUUACACAAGCAAACUCAUUUCUUUCUGGUAUCAAGCAACGUCUUCUUUCCUUUAUUUUUCGAAAAGCAUGGAAUGAAGAAUCAGAUCCAUCCUUGAGGGUUCAACAUCUUAAGAAGAAAUUCUAUUAUCACUUCCAAGAUUAUCUAGAUCUCAUGAUGUCGAAGUCAUUCUAUUUACAGUCUGUAACAUCUUCGGAUAGUCAGCAGGUUCAAUUUUUGGAUCGCCAGCAUCUUCUAUUGAAGUUUGGCAGCGUUGAUGGUGGGGUUCGGAUGGCUGAUCAUCAUCUAGCUUUCUUUGCUGUCUAUAACAUGGAAACUACUGAGAUUGUUGCAUUUUAUCAGAAUCCAUCUGAAGAAUUAUAUUCCUUGUUUGAGCGAUUCUAUGACUAUUUUCAUGCAAAAUCGAGAGAGCCUUUGCAUGCUAAUUUCAUUUCUUCACACUCCAAUAACAUCUAUGCUCUUGAGCAUCUACAAAUCAUGAAGAGCAAAGCAAGCAGCCUCUCACAGUACAUGAAGAAGAUGCUGAGCUCAUUACCAUACACUUGUCAAUCGCAAAGCCCUUCACCAUAUUUUGAUCUCUCACUCUUUCGAUAUGAUGAAAAGUAGCUAUAUUCUUUAAGAAAAAUUGACUUUCUGUAUAAAGUACCAACUCUCUGAGUCCAGUAGAUGGCAGAGCAAGGUAUAUUUUCUACUGAAGUUAUGUGUGUGUUUUACUUUCUAUUAUUUGUGAGGAUUUACUUGCAACUGGCUAGACGAUGUGUAUUUGCACUGAAAACUAACAGAAGAACCAUGGUAUCUACCAAGUAAUCUGUAGUUUUGAACCUAAGGUUCUGAUUGAAGAUUGAAACUAUCCUAGAUAUAGCUACUCAAGAAAGAAUAAUUUUAAGAUGGCUUAGCCAUCUUGAUAUUGAUUUUGAGUGCUUUGACCACACUCUCUUUUCAAUCCUUUCUAAGUUUUUGUGGAUCUCUUCUAGAUUCUAUUCUAGAAUGGCUAAUUUAGCUGUCACAUUCCUUUGGCCUAUAUGAAGUUUCUGAUGCGGAAGUCCUCCUUUAUUGAGAUGCUUGGCAGUAUAUGCUCUUCAAAAGGAACAUAUACAGAUUUUGUUCUCAUCACAAAGCCUACUCUUGAGUCUUGACUAAUUAAAACAACCUCAAGUUACAUGUACUUUCUCCAUUCAGAUUCCAUGUGAGAUGUUCAUGUUGCACACGUUCCUGGAAUUGACCAUCUUUAUUUUGCAUGAGUCAUGCUCUACAAUUUCUUAUUUAAAAUAGAGAAACAUUGAAUGCACAAUAAAUGAAGUGAAAUUUUGUACCACGUAGCCACAUAUACAUGUGCUGGGCUUUCCUACAAGCAUUAUGUAGUCAGACUCAAUAUUGAGUCAUAAUACAGACAUAGUAUAUGCUUUUGCAUGUGGCUAUAAUCUUUAAUCGACUCAUUCAAAUCCAGCCAGAGUUUCUGGUUUGAAUUAAAUUAAUAUCUACAAUAAUGUGACACUAUCAUUGAUUUUGUUAUGUUUAAUUUAAUGCAAAAUUAUAAGUUUCUGAUUUAUGCUUAAAUGAAUCUGAAAAUUGAAAAAAUGAGGUGUUAAAAAUGUCCAGCAUUUGAGUGUUUGAUUAUUGGUGUUGCAUAUCUAAAGUUUAUGCUUCUUUAUAAGCAUUACUUGUCUUUCUGCAAUUUGGCAAAUGUUAGAGGCUUAAGUUUCGAUUGCAUUUUUAAUUAAGUGGGUGGUAGAUGUAAUCCAUCUAUAUAAUGGUUGUUCAUAUUGAUGAUUGUUUUAAUUGGAGUUUUUACAAAUAAUUAAGAAAAUAAUUUUACAUGGACUGAUUAUACGUGUCUGUAUGCCAUGCACAUUAGGAUGAUGUCAUACCUUAAGUGACAUUCUGAUUUUGUCCUGCCUGAUUGUGAAUUGGGUUUCACUUUGAUUUUAUUGGUUUCACAAACCUGGUAGUUUGCAGAUGAGCUGAUCUCUUUGCUAAUGCCCUCCAUGAUCUUCUGAACCCAGAUCCUGAUCAUACUGGCAAUUUGUUUGUAGUGAUACUUUACAUUUCUAUGAUUUUUCUUCUAUUCUGAAUCCAUGGUUUAAGUUCCUUUGCUACUGCAUGCACCUUCAUUUACUUGAAAGAUUUUUCGAUAUAACAGCUAGCAAUUCAUUUUGGUUGACCCGCAGAAUCUAAUUUUUAUUUAUUUCAUGUUAUUUUUCUAUUGUAUCUUUGUUUUCUCACAAUUUAUAUCUUUCAGUUUAUUCAUUGUCAUUUUGAUAUGCUUCUUACAUACAUGGCAUUUCAAUUCCAUUGGUAGUUAAUUUCUGCCACAGAUCGACAUAGGCACUCUACUGAUCAUCCAUUAAAGUUUAUUUCAAGAAGGCAACCAAAUGUUCUGAAAUUCAAGAUAAAGACAGGAGUCGAUUCCAUCAAUGCAGACGGCAGGGCUAAGCGGUCUUCUUUUCUU